ensembl:lncRNA
CCUUGCUGUCACCCUGCUGUCACCCUGCUGUCACCCUGCUGUCACCCUGCUGUCACCUUGCUGUCACCCUGUUGUCACCCUGCUGUCACCUUGUUGUCACCCUGCUGUCACCUUGCUGUCACCCUGCUGUCACCCUGCUGUCACAAGGAAGCUUUGAAAUCCUCUUCAGUCCCUUUCACAGAAUCUCAUGUGGUCUGAGAUCCUCUAUCUAGGGUGGUUUCUGUGGUCUGAGAUCCUCUAUCUAGGGUGGUUUCUGUGGUCUAGGGUGGUUUCUGUGGUCUAGGGUGGUUUCUGUGGUCUAGGUUGGUUUCUGUGGUCUAGGGUGGUUUCUGUGGUCUAGGGUGGUUUCUGUGGUCUAGGGUGGUUUCUGUGGUCUAGGGUGGUUUCUGUGGUCUAGGUUGGUUUCUGUGGUCUAGGGUAGUUUCUGUGGUCUAGGGUUGUUUCUGUGGUCUAGGUUGGUUUCUGUGGUCUAGGGUGGUUUCUGUGGUCUAGGGUAGUUUCUGUGGUCUAGGGUAGUUUCUGUGGUCUGGGGUGGUUUCUGUGGUCUAGGUUGGUUUCUGUGGUCUAGGGCGGUUUCUGUGGACCCUGCCAUCAUUCAGAGUUUCAAUCAGAACAUGAUCUAGAGACUGAAUCUGGAGACUGAAUCUGGAGACUGAAUCUGGAGACUGAAUCUAGAGACUUGAAUCUAGAGACUUGAAUCUAGAGACUUGAAUCUAGAGACUUGAAUCUAGAGACUUGAAUCUAGAGACUUGAAUCUAGAGACUUGAAUCUAGUGACUUGAAUCUAGAGACUUGAAUCUAGUGACUGGAUCUGGAGACUGCCACCUACUUGCUUACUGUCUACGUGUGUAUCUACAUGCCUGACUUGUUGUGUGUUUCGGUGACUAAUGACUGUUUCAUGUAAAUAUUAAAUAUAUACAUCACACUCCUCUUAACCUGUUUAGUCCAAUGGUUUUAGAUUAUACAAGUCAAUCAAUGACCAUGUGGUUUCUGGGUGAUGUCUUCUUAUAGAUACAGGUCUCUACCUAGCCAUAGGGUCAAGAGUAGUGCACUAUGUAG